AGAGUUUGAUCCUGGCUCAGGACGAACGCUGGCGGCGUGCUUAACACAUGCAAGUCGAGCGAUGAAGCUCCUUCGGGAGUGGAUUAGCGGCGGACGGGUGAGUAACACGUGGGUAACCUGCCUCAUAGAGGGGAAUAGCCUUUCGAAAGGAAGAUUAAUACCGCAUAAGAUUGUAGUACCGCAUGGUACAGCAAUUAAAGGAGUAAUCCGCUAUGAGAUGGACCCGCGUCGCAUUAGCUAGUUGGUGGAGUAACGGCUCACCAAGGCGACGAUGCGUAGCCGACCUGAGAGGGUGAUCGGCCACAUUGGGACUGAGACACGGCCCAGACUCCUACGGGAGGCAGCAGUGGGGAAUAUUGCACAAUGGGGGAAACCCUGAUGCAGCAACGCCGCGUGAGUAAUGACGGUCUUCGGAUUGUAAAGCUCUGUCUUUAGGGACGAUAAUGACGGUACCUAAGGAGGAAGCCACGGCUAACUACGUGCCAGCAGCCGCGGUAAUACGUAGGUGGCAAGCGUUGUCCGGAUU
rnacentral:rRNA from 1 species